rnacentral:rRNA from 1 species
CGGGACACGUGGUAUCCUGUCUGAAUAUGGGGGGACCAUCCUCCAAGGCUAAAUACUCCUGACUGACCGAUAGUGAACCAGUACCGUGAGGGAAAGGCGAAAAGAACCCCGGCGAGGGGAGUGAAAAAGAACCUGAAACCGUGUACGUACAAGCAGUGGGAGCACGCUUAGGCGUGUGACUGCGUACCUUUUGUAUAAUGGGUCAGCGACUUAUAUUCUGUAGCAAGGUUAACCGAAUAGGGGAGCCGAAGGGAAACCGAGUCUUAACUGGGCGUUAAGUUGCAGGGUAUAGACCCGAAACCCGGUGAUCUAGCCAUGGGCAGGUUGAAGGUUGGGUAACACUAACUGGAGGACCGAACCGACUAAUGUUGAAAAAUUAGCGGAUGACUUGUGGCUGGGGGUGAAAGGCCAAUCAAACCGGGAGAUAGCUGGUUCUCCCCGAAAGCUAUUUAGGUAGCGCCUCGUGAAUUCAUCUCCGGGGGUAGAGCACUGUUUCGGCAAGGGGGUCAUCCCGACUUACCAACCCGAUGCAAACUGCGAAUACCGGAGAAUGUUAUCACGGGAGACACACGGCGGGUGCUAACGUCCGUCGUGAAGAGGGAAACAACCCAGACCGCCAGCUAAGGUCCCAAAGUCAUGGUUAAGUGGGAAACGAUGUGGGAAGGCCCAGACAGCCAGGAUGUUGGCUUAGAAGCAGCCAUCAUUUAAAGAAAGCGUAAUAGCUCACUGGUCGAGUCGGCCUGCGCGGAAGAUGUAACGGGGCUAAACCAUGCACCGAAGCUGCGGCAGCGACGCUGAUGCGUUGUUGGGUAGGGGAGCGUUCUGUAAGCCUGUGAAGGUGUGCUGUGAGGCAUGCUGGAGGUAUCAGAAGUGCGAAUGCUGACAUAAGUAACGAUAAAGCGGGUGAAAAGCCCGCUCGCCGGAAGACCAAGGGUUCCUGUCCAACGUUAAUCGGGGCAGGGUGAGUCGACCCCUAAGGCGAGGCCGAAAGGCGUAGUCGAUGGGAAACAGGUUAAUAUUCCUGUACUUGGUGUUACUGCGAAGGGGGGACGGAGAAGGCUAUGUUGGCCGGGCGACGGUUGUCCCGGUUUAAGCGUGUAGGCUGGUUUUCCAGGCAAAUCCGGAAAAUCAAGGCUGAGGCGUGAUGACGAGGCACUACGGUGCUGAAGCAACAAAUGCCCUGCUUCCAGGAAAAGCCUCUAAGCAUCAGGUAACAUCAAAUCGUACCCCAAACCGACACAGGUGGUCAGGUAGAGAAUACCAAGGCGCUUGAGAGAACUCGGGUGAAGGAACUAGGCAAAAUGGUGCCGUAACUUCGGGAGAAGGCACGCUGAUAUGUAGGUGAAGCGACUUGCUCGUGGAGCUGAAAUCAGUCGAAGAUACCAGCUGGCUGCAACUGUUUAUUAAAAACACAGCACUGUGCAAACACGAAAGUGGACGUAUACGGUGUGACGCCUGCCCGGUGCCGGAAGGUUAAUUGAUGGGGUCAGCGCAAGCGAAGCUCUUGAUCGAAGCCCCGGUAAACGGCGGCCGUAACUAUAACGGUCCUAAGGUAGCGAAAUUCCUUGUCGGGUAAGUUCCGACCUGCACGAAUGGCGUAAUGAUGGCCAGGCUGUCUCCACCCGAGACUCAGUGAAAUUGAACUCGCUGUGAAGAUGCAGUGUACCCGCGGCAAGACGGAAAGACCCCGUGAACCUUUACUAUAGCUUGACACUGAACAUUGAGCCUUGAUGUGUAGGAUAGGUGGGAGGCUUUGAAGUGUGGACGCCAGUCUGCAUGGAGCCGGCCUUGAAAUACCACCCUUUAAUGUUUGAUGUUCUAACGUUGACCCGUGAUCCGGG